UGGGGAAUUUUCCGCAAUGGGCGAAAGCCUGACGGAGCAAUGCCGCGUGGAGGUGGAAGGCCUACGGGUCGUCAACUUCUUUUCUCGGAGAAGAAACAAUGACGGUAUCUGAGGAAUAAGCAUCGGCUAACUCUGUGCCU
rnacentral:rRNA from 1 species